UGGCAUGCCAUUGUGUACUCUCUGCU
rnacentral:piRNA from 1 species